rnacentral:rRNA from 1 species
UGUUAAGUCAGGCAACGAGCGAGACCCACGCCCACACGUUGCCAGCGUACGUCUCCCGGAGGUGACCGGGUACGACUGUGGGACCGCCGCUGCUAAAGCGGAGGAAGGAAUGGGCAACGGUAGGUCAGUAUGCCCCGAAUAUCCCGGGCUACACGCGAGCUACAAUGGUUGGUACAAUGGGUAUCUACCCCGAAAGGGGACGGGAAUCUCCUAAACCAAUCUUAGUUCGGAUUGAGGGCUGCAACUCGCCCUCAUGAAGCUGGAAUCCGUAGUAAUCGCGUUUCAACAGAACGCGGUGAAUACGUCCCUGCUCCUU